rnacentral:rRNA from 1 species
AUUGAACGCUGGCGGCAUGCCUAACACAUGCAAGUCGAACGGCAGCACAGGUAGCAAUACCGGGUGGCGAGUGGCGGACGGGUGAGUAAUGCAUCGGGAUCUACCUAGUAGUGGGGGAUAGCUCGGGGAAACUCGAAUUAAUACCGCAUACGACCUACGGGAGAAAGGGGCAACUUGUUGCUCUCGCUAUUAGAUGAGCCUAAGUCGGAUUAGCUAGAUGGUGGGGUAAAGGCCUACCGUGGCGACGAUCUGUAGCUGGUCUGAGAGGAUGAUCAGCCACACCGGGACUGAGACACGGCCCGG